AGAGUUUGAUCCUGGCUCAGGACGAACGCUGGCGGCGUGCCUAAUACAUGCAAGUCGAACGAACGGAUAAAGAGCUUGCUCUUUUGAAGUUAGUGGCGGACGGGUGAGUAACACGUGGGUAACCUGCCUCACAGCUGGGGAUAACAUCGAGAAAUCGAUGCUAAUACCGAAUGUGCUGAACAUCAUAAGAUGUUCAAGUGAAAGACGGUUUCGGCUGUCACUGUGAGAUGGACCCGCGCUGGAUUAGCUAGUUGGUAAGGUAAUGGCUUACCAAGGCGACGAUCCAUAGCCGACCUGAGAGGGUGAUCGGCCACAUUGGGACUGAGACACGGCCCAAACUCCUACGGGAGGCAGCAGUAGGGAAUCUUCGGCAAUGGACGAAAGUCUGACCGAGCAACGCCGCGUGAGCGAAGAAGGCCUUCGGGUCGUAAAGCUCUGUUGUUAGAGAAGAACAUGGGUGAGAGUAACUGUUCACCCCUUGACGGUAUCUAACCAGAAAGCCACGGCUAACUACGUGCCAGCAGCCGCGGUAAUACGUAGGUGGCAAGCGUUGUCCGGAAUUAUUGGGCGUAAAGCGCGCGCAGGCGGUCUCUUAAGUCUGAUGUGAAAGCCCCCGGCUCAACCGGGGAGGGUCAUUGGAAACUGGGAGACUUGAGGACAGAAGAGGAGAGUGGAAUUCCAAGUGUAGCGGUGAAAUGCGUAGAUAUUUGGAGGAACACCAGUGGCGAAGGCGGCUCUCUGGUCUGUUACUGACGCUGAGGCGCGAAAGCGUGGGGGAGCAAACAGGAU
rnacentral:rRNA from 1 species